rnacentral:rRNA from 1 species
AGCGAACGCUGGCGGCAGGCUUAACACAUGCAAGUCGAGCGCCUGUAGCAAUACAGGAGCGGCAGACGGGAGAGUAACACGUGGGAACGUACCCUUCAGUACGGAACAACCCACGGGAAACGUUAGGGCGUAAUACCGUAUACGUCCGUAAGGAGAAAGAUUUAUUCGCUGAAGGAUUGGCCCGCGUCUGAUUAGCUAGUUGGUGAGGUAACGGCUCACCAAGGCGACGAUCAGUAGCUGGUCUGAGAGGAUGAUCAGCCUCAUU